UGACCCAGAGCACAUUGCACCAAGCAGCAGCAGCUGGGAUAUAAAAAAUGUGAUGAUGGUGGACGUCUUGUUUCAUGAGAAUUCAGGACUGCUGAAUUCUUCGAAGAAUAAGAAAGCCAUAGAAAGUGCCAAAAACUACCUACAGAAAUUCUCUAAACCUCACCGUGUUGUAAGGAAGCGGAUAUGUGCUGGUCUAAUUGUUACAGCUGGUGUAAUGUUCAUCUACCGCUUUUUUCCUUGGGAUGCAUUUCCACAUGAUCCUAUAUGGCAUAUACUGGAAAGUACUGAUUCAGAUGAGUUUUAGAUAAGAUUUAGAUAAGCGCUCUCAAACAACAAUGUAUUAGUAUCCAAAAGCCUUACAUUAGUUGCAGUCACAUAUAUGGUGUAUGGUCUCUGGAUCAUUGUUAUUUGUGUCCUGUAUUUCUGCUUUGCUGACUGUACAUACUGUAAAUAAAAUGCUAAAAACGUG